GCCUCAGUAACGGCGAGUGAAGCGGCNGAAGCUCAAAUUUGAAAUCUGGCGUCUGCGACGCCCGAGUUGUACUUUGGAGAGGCAUCUUCCGGAGGGGCCCAGCCUAUGUGCCUUGGAACAGGACGUCACAGAGGGUGAGAAUCCCGUUCUCGGCCGGAUGUCCCCUCCCGUAUGCAGUGUCUUCUACGAGUCGAGUUGUUUGGGAAUGCAGCUCAAAAUGGGUGGUAAAUUUCAUCUAAAGCUAAAUAUUGGCGAGAGACCGAUAGCGCACAAGUAGAGUGAUCGAAAGAUGAAAAGCACUUUGAAAAUAGAGUCAAACAGUACGUGAAAUUGUUGAAAGGGAAGCGCUUGAGACCAGACUCGACCUUUGACGAACAACGGUCCCUUCCGGGCAGUGCACUCGUCAUCGGUCGGGCCAGCAUCGGUUGGGACGGCGGGAUAAAGGUCCGGGGAAUGUGACUCCGUCCAGGAGUGUUAUAGCCCCGGGCGCCAUGCUGCCCGUCCCGACCGUGGACCGCGCUUCGGCUAGGAUGCUGGCGUAAUGGUCUUCAGCGGCCCGUCUUGAAAACACGGA
rnacentral:rRNA from 1 species